AUUGUAGAUUUUAUCUUCAAACCAGCAAUUGAAGUUAAUCAGUAAUACAUCAGAGUGUUUAAGAAAAUAACAUACGUGACCUUAUAGUGGCCACUAUCACACUCAAGUAUACCCAGUGUGCAAAGCAAAGAAUAGGCAGAUGGUUGCGACUGCAGCCCAAUGUGUUGAACAUAAAUUUCAAGAAGGGAACAAAGAGAGCCGACAUGGCUCAUGCUAUAGACCAGUAUGUCCUGGGGACAGCCGGUGUGG